rnacentral:rRNA from 1 species
AGAGUUUGAUCCUGGCUCAGGAUGAACGCUGGCGGCGUGCUUAACACAUGCUAGUCGAACGAACCUUCGGGUUAGUGGCGGACGGGUGAGUMACGCGUGAGAAUCUGCCCUCAGGAGGGGGAUAACGGUUGGAAACGACCGCUAAUACACCAUAUGCCGAGAGGUGAAAUGAAUUUCGCCUGAGGAUGAGCUCGCGUCUGAUUAGUUAGUUGGUGGGGUAAUGGCCUACCAAGACAUCGAUCAGUAGCUGGUCUGAGAGGAUGAUCAGCCACACUGGGACUGAGACACGGCCCAGACUCCUACGGGAGGCAGCAGUGGGGAAUUUUCCGCAAUGGGCGAAAGCCUGACGGAGCAACGCCGCGUGAGGGAUGAAGGCCUCUGGGCUGUAAACCUCUUUUAUCAAGGAAGAAGAUCUGACGGUACUUGAUGAAUAAGCCACGGCUAAUUCCGUGCCAGCAGCCGCGGUAAUACGGGAGUGGCAAGCGUUAUCCGGAAUUAUUGGGCGUAAAGCGUCCGCAGGCGGUCUGUCAAGUCUGCUGUUAAAGCGUGGAGCUUAACUCCAUUUCGGCAGUGGAAACUGACAGACUAGAGUGUGGUAGGGGCAGAGGGAAUUCCCGGUGUAGCGGUGAAAUGCGUAGAUAUCGGGAAGAACACCAGUGGCGAAGGCGCUCUGCUGGGCCAUACUGACGCUCAUGGACGAAAGCAGGGAGCGAAAGGGAUUAGAUACCCUGUAGUCCUGCCCGUAACGAUGAACACUAGGUGUCGGGGGAAUCGACCCCCUCGGUGUCGUAGCCAACGCGUUAAGUGUUCCGCCUGGGGAGUACGCACGCAAGUGUGAAACUCAAAGGAAUUGACGGGGGCCCGCACAAGCGGUGGAGUAUGUGGUUUAAUUCGAUGCAACGCGAAGAACCUUACCAGGGUUUGACAUCCUGCGAAUCUCUUGGAAACGAGAGAGUGCCUUCGGGAACGCAGUGACAGGUGGUGCAUGGCUGUCGUCAGCUCGUGUCGUGAGAUGUUGGGUUAAGUCCCGCAACGAGCGCAACCCACGUCGUUAGUUGCCAGCAUUUAGUUGGGCACUCUAGCGAGACCGCCGGUGAUAAACCGGAGGAAGGUGUGGAUGACGUCAAGUCAUCAUGCCCCUUACAUCCAGGGCUACACACGUACUACAAUGCUACGGACAAAGGGCAGCAAACUCGCGAGAGCUAGCAAAUCCCAUAAACCGUGGCUCAGUUCAGAUCGUAGGCUGCAACUCGCCUACGUGAAGGAGGAAUCGCUAGUAAUCGCAGGUCAGCAUACUGCGGUGAAUACGUUCCCGGGCCUUGUACACACCGCCCGUCACACCAUGGAAGUUGGCCACGCCCGAAGCCGUUACUCCAACCCUUGUGGAGGARRACGUCGAAGGUGGGGCUGAUGACUGGGGUGAAGUCGUAACAAGGUAACC